GUCCGAGCGAACGGACGAGAAGCUUGCUUCUCUGAUGUUAGCGGCGGACGGGUGAGUAACACGUGGAUGACCUACCUAUAAGACUGGGAUAACUUCGGGAAACCGGAGCUAAUACCGGAUAAUAUUUUGAACCGCAUGGUUCAAAAGUGAAAGACGGUCUUGCUGUCACUUAUAGAUGGAUCCGCGCUGCAUUAGCUAGUUGGUAAGGUAACGGCUUACCAAGGCAACGAUGCAUAGCCGACCUGAGAGGGUGAUCGGCCACACUGGAACUGAGACACGGUCCAGACUCCUACGGGAGGCAGCAGUAGGGAAUCUUCCGCAAUGGGCGAAAGCCUGACGGAGCAACGCCGCGUGAGUGAUGAAGGUCUUCGGAUCGUAAAACUCUGUUAUUAGGGAAGAACAUAUGUGUAAGUAACUGUGCACAUCUUGACGGUACCUAAUCAGAAAGCCACGGCUAACUACGUGCCAGCAGCCGCGGUAAUACGUAGGUGGCAAGCGUUAUCCGGAAUUAUUGGGCGUAAAGCGCGCGUAGGCGGUUUUUUAAGUCUGAUGUGAAAGCCCACGGCUCAACCGUGGAGGGUCAUUGGAAACUGGAAAACUUGAGUGCAGAAGAGGAAAGUGGAAUUCCAUGUGUAGCGGUGAAAUGCGCAGAGAUAUGGAGGAACACCAGUGGCGAAGGCGACUUUCUGGUCUGUAACUGACGCUGAUGUGCGAUAGCGUGCGGAUCAAACAGGAUUACAUACCCUGGUAGUCCACGUCCUAAACGAUGGAUCGUUAGUGGUAGGGAGGUUUCCUUCCCCUUAUUGCUGCAGGUAUUGCAGAUUCCACUGAGCCUGGAGGUGGACCGAGGGCUUAAACUCAGAAGUAAUAGACGGCUACGCAGAGCUACGCAGAUGUU
rnacentral:rRNA from 1 species